CACGGGGGGAGCAAGCGUUGUUCGGAAUCACUGGGCGUAAAGGGCGUGUAGGCGGUCAGGUAAGUGGGAUGUGAAAUGCCCCGGCUCACCCGGGGACCGGCAUCCCAUACUGCUUGGCUUGAAUUCGGGAGAGGGAUGUGGAAUUCCAGGUGUAGCGGUGAAAUGCGUAGAUAUUUGGAGGAACACCGGUGGCGAAGGCGGCAUCCUGGACCGACAUUGACGCUGAGGCGCGAAAGCCAGGGGAGCAAACGGG
rnacentral:rRNA from 1 species